rnacentral:rRNA from 1 species
AUUGCCUCAGUAACGGCGAGUGAAGCGGCAACAGCUCAAAUUUGAAAUCUGGCCCUAGGCCCGAGUUGUAAUUUGCAGAGGAUGCUUUUGGUGAGGUGCCUUCCGAGUUCCCUGGAACGGGACGCCAUAGAGGGUGAGAGCCCCGUCUGGUUGGAUACCGAGCCUCUGUAAAGCUCCUUCGACGAGUCGAGUAGUUUGGGAAUGCUGCUCAAAAUGGGAGGUACAUGUCUUCUAAAGCUAAAUACCGGCCAGAGACCGAUAGCGCACAAGUAGAGUGAUCGAAAGAUGAAAAGCACUUUGAAAAGAGAGUUAAACAGCACGUGAAAUUGUUAAAAGGGAAGCGUUUAUGACCAGACUUGGGCCGGUUGAUCAUCCAGUGUUCUCACUGGUGCACUCUGCCGGUCUAGGCCAGCAUCAGUUCGUUGCGGGGGAUAAAGGCGUCGGGAAUGUGGCUCCUCGGAGUGUUAUAGCCCUUCGUGUAAUACCCUGUGGUGGACUGAGGUUCGCGCUCUGCAAGGAUGCUGGCGUAAUGGUCAUCAACGACCCGUCUUGAAACACGGACCAAGGAGUCGUCUUCGUAUGCGAGUGUUCGGGUGUCAAACCCCUACGCGUAAUGAAAGUGAACGCAGGUGAGAGCUUCGGCGCAUCAUCGACCGAUCCUGAUGUUCUCGGAUGGAUUUGAGUAAGAGCAUACGGGGCCGGACCCGAAAGAAGGUGAACUAUGCCUGUAUAGGGUGAAGCCAGAGGAAACUCUGGUGGAGGCUCGCAGCGGUUCUGACGUGCAAAUCGAUCGUCAAAUAUGGGCAUGGGGGCGAAAGACUAA